CCUACGGGAGGCAGCAGUGGGGAAUAUUGCACAAUGGGGGAAACCCUGAUGCAGCGACGCCGCGUGAGUGAAGAAGUAAUUCGUUAUGUAAAGCUCUAUCAGCAGGAACGAAAAUGACGGUGCCUGAGUAAGAAGCCCCGGCUAACUACGUGCCAGCAGCCGCGGUAAUACGUGGGGGGCAAGCGUGAUCCGGAUGUACUGUGGGGAAAGGGAGCGUAGACGGCAGUGCAAGUCUGGAGUGAAAGGCGGGGGCUCAACCCCCGGACUGCACUGGAAACUGUACGGCUGGAGUGCAGGAGAGGUAAGUGGAAUUCCUAGUGUAGCGGUGAAAUGCGUAGAUAUUAGGAGGAACAACAGUGGCGAAGGCGGCUUACUGGACUGUAACUGACGUUGAGGCUCGAAAGCGUGGGGAGCAAACAGGAUUAGAUACCCUUGUAGUC
rnacentral:rRNA from 1 species